CGGGGGGGGCAAGCGUUGUUCGGAAUUACUGGGCGUAAAGGGCGCGUAGGCGGCCUACUAAGUCGGACGUGAAAUCCCUCGGCUCAACCGAGGAACUGCGUCCGAUACUGGCAGGCUGGAAUCCGGGAGAGGGAUGUGGAAUUCCAGGUGUAGCGGUGAGAUGCGUAGAUAUCUGGAGGAACACCGGUGGCGAAGGCGGCAUCCUGGACCGGUAUUGACGCUGAGGCGCGGAAGCUAGGGGAGCAAACGGGAUUAGAUACCCCGGUAGUCCUAGCCCUAGACGAUGAGUGCUUGGUGUGGCGGGUAUCGAUCCCUGCCGUGCCGAAGCUAAUGCAUUAAGCACUCCGCCGUGGGGAGUACGGUCGCAAGGCU
rnacentral:rRNA from 1 species